AUAUUGGACAAUGGGGGCAACCCUGAUCCAGCCAUGCCGCUUGUGUGAAGAAGGUCUUCGGAGUGUAAAGCACUUUACGUUGGGAGGAAGGGCUUUAGGCUAAUACUCUGAAGGUUCGACGUUACCAACCGACUCAGCUCCGGCUAACUCUGUGGCAGGCGCCGCGGUAAUACAGAGGGUGCAAGCGUUAAUCGGAAUUACUGGGCGUAACGCGCGCGUAGGUGGUUCAGUAAGAUGGGUGAGAAAUCCCCGGGCUUAACCUGGGAACUGCUUUCAUAACUGCUGAGCUAGAGUACGGUAGAGGGUAGUGGAAUUUCCUGUGUAGCGGUGAAAUGCGUAGAUAUAGGAAGGAACACCAGUGGCGAAGGCGACUACCUGGACUGAUACUGACACUGAGGUGCGAAAGCGUGGGGAGCAAACA
rnacentral:rRNA from 1 species